ncrna:Vibrio breoganii ZF-29 gltS RNA
AAUGACCAAGGAAUGUUUUUCUCGCAAACUUUUCAGCGAGAGACGGAAUGGAAGCAGGCUAAUGCACACAAUUAGCCCUUAAGAAGACAAUUAUAAGGAAUGG